CAGAGGUCCCAAGCGUUGUUCGGAUUUACUGGGCGUAAAGGGUGCGUAGGCGGUCGGGUAAGUCUGGUGUGAAAUCUUCGAGCUUAACUCGGAAACUGCAUUGGAUACUAUUCGGCUGGAGAGUUGGAGGGGGGACUGGAAUACUUGGUGUAGCAGUGAAAUGCGUAGAUAUCAAGUGGAACACCAGUGGCGAAGGCGAGUCCCUGGACAACUUCUGACGCUGAGGCACGAAAGCUAGGGGAGCAAACAGGAUUAGAUACCCUGGUAGUCCUAGCCGUAAACGGUGCGUAUUUGCUGUAAAAGGAAUCGACCCCUUUUGUGGCGUAGCAAACGCGUUAAAUACGCCGCCUGGGAAGUACGGUCGCAAGAUUA
rnacentral:rRNA from 1 species